CCCUAAAUCUAGCCCACUUAAAUCGUAUGACUACACCCCCACUUUACACCUUAAUAAAACAUUUUGUUAUCUUAGUACAGGCGAUCGAAAAAUUAAUAAGAGCUUUAGAUUAAGUACCGCAAGGGAAUGAUGAAAUAGAAAUGAAAUAACCUUAAAGCCUAAAAUAGCAGAGUUUACCUCUCGUACCUUUUGCAUCAUGGUCUAGCUAGUCCCCCCAGGCAAAAAGAAAUUUAAGUCUGAUUCCCCGAAACUAAGCGAGCUACUUCAGAACAGCCCAGAGAGCCAACCCGUCUCUGUUUCAAAAGAGUGGGAAGAUUCCCAAGUAGAGGUGAUAAACCUACCGAGCUUAGAGAUAGCUGGUUGUUCAGGAAAAGAGUCUAAGCUCAACCUUAAAUUUCCGUAUGAAGCAAGCAAGAUAAUAAAUUUAAGAGUUAUUCAAAUAAGGCACAGCUUAUUUGAAAGGGGAUACAACCCCAAACAAUGGGUUACAAAGAUAAUCUAAAUAAAGUGGGCCUAAAAGCAGCCACCUUCUAAAAAGCGUCAAAGCUUAUCAUUUUAGCAUCCUUAAUUACUUAAUUCUAAACCAACCCUUUAUUAAUACUGAACUAUUUUAUACUAAUAUAAAAGCUAUUAUGCUAGAACUAGUAACAAGAAAUUGCCUUCUCCAAAAUGUAUGUUUAAACCAAUACGGACAAACCAUUGGUAAUUAACACAAAUGCAUCAAUCUUAGUACCAUCCCUAGAAAACUCUAAGAAUUCAAGUGUUAAUCUUACACCAGAACAUUGCAGGAAAGAUUAAAAGAGAGGGAAGGAACUCGGCAAAUCAUAGUCCCGCCUGUUUACCAAAAACAUCGCCUCCUGAUAAACAUAGGAGGUCCAGCCUGCCCAGUGACAACGUUCAACGGCCGCGGUACCCUAACCGUGCGAAGGUAGCAUAAUCACUUGUUCUUUAAAUGGGGACUCGUAUCAAAGGCACCACGAGGACUAUACUGUCUCCCCUCUCCAAUCAGUGAAACUGAUCCCCCCGUGAAGAAGCGGGGAUUUAACUAUAAGACGAGAAGACCCCAUGGAGCUUUAGACUUAAUAUACACCCUUGCUCAACAUAACAGUAAAGCUAUUAAGAUAUGUAUAUUGUCUUCGGUUGGGGGGACCGCGGAGUAAAACUUAACCUCCACGACAAACGGGUUAACACCCUUAUCCAAGAAACACAUUUCUAAGAGUCAAUAAAUUGUUGUUUAUGACCCAUUUUAUGAUUAACGAACCAAGUUACCCUGGGGAUAACAGCGCAAUCUACUUCAAGAGCCCCUAUCGACAAGUAGGUUUACGACCUCGAUGUUGGAUCAGGGAAUCCCAGUGGCGCAACCGCUAC
rnacentral:rRNA from 1 species